rnacentral:rRNA from 1 species
UACGUAGGGUGCAAGCGUUGUCCGGAAUUAUUGGGCGUAAAGAGCGUGUAGGCGGCCCGAUUAGUCCGCUGUGAAAGUCCAGGGCUCAACCCUGGAAUGCCGGUGGAUACUGUCGGGCUAGAGUCCGGAAGGGGCGAGUGGAAUUCCUGGUGUAGCGGUGAAAUUCGUAGAUAUUGGGAAGAACACCGGUGGCGAAGGCGGCUCUCUGGACCGAUACUGACGCUGAGGCGCGAAAGCGUGGGGAGCAAACAGG